UUGAAGAGUUUGAUCAUGGCUCAGAUUGAACGCUGGCGGCAGGCCUAACACAUGCAAGUCGAGCGGUAGCACAGAGAGCUUGCUCUCGGGUGACGAGCGGCGGACGGGUGAGUAAUGUCUGGGAAACUGCCUGAUGGAGGGGGAUAACUACUGGAAACGGUAGCUAAUACCGCAUAACGUCGCAAGACCAAAGUGGGGGACCUUCGGGCCUCAUGCCAUCAGAUGUGCCCAGAUGGGAUUAGCUAGUAGGUGGGGUAACGGCUCACCUAGGCGACGAUCCCUAGCUGGUCUGAGAGGAUGACCAGCCACACUGGAACUGAGACACGGUCCAGACUCCUACGGGAGGCAGCAGUGGGGAAUAUUGCACAAUGGGCGCAAGCCUGAUGCAGCCAUGCCGCGUGUGUGAAGAAGGCCUUCGGGUUGUAAAGCACUUUCAGCGGGGAGGAAGGCGGUGAGGUUAAUAACCUCAUCGAUUGACGUUACCCGCAGAAGAAGCACCGGCUAACUCCGUGCCAGCAGCCGCGGUAAUACGGAGGGUGCAAGCGUUAAUCGGAAUUACUGGGCGUAAAGCGCACGCAGGCGGUCUGUCAAGUCGGAUGUGAAAUCCCCGGGCUUAACCUGGGAACUGCAUUCGAAACUGGCAGGCUAGAGUCUUGUAGAGGGGGGUAGAAUUCCAGGUGUAGCGGUGAAAUGCGUAGAGAUCUGGAGGAAUACCGGUGGCGAAGGCGGCCCCCUGGACAAAGACUGACGCUCAGGUGCGAAAGCGUGGGGAGCAAACAGGAUUAGAUACCCUGGUAGUCCACGCCGUAAACGAUGUCGAUUUGGAGGUUGUGCCCUUGAGGCGUGGCUUCCGGAGCUAACGCGUUAAAUCGACCGCCUGGGGAGUACGGCCGCAAGGUUAAAACUCAAAUGAAUUGACGGGGGCCCGCACAAGCGGUGGAGCAUGUGGUUUAAUUCGAUGCAACGCGAAGAACCUUACCUGGUCUUGACAUCCACAGAACUUUCCAGAGAUGGAUUGGUGCCUUCGGGAACUGUGAGACAGGUGCUGCAUGGCUGUCGUCAGCUCGUGUUGUGAAAUGUUGGGUUAAGUCCCGCAACGAGCGCAACCCUUAUCCUUUGUUGCCAGCGGUCCGGCCGGGAACUCAAAGGAGACUGCCAGUGAUAAACUGGAGGAAGGUGGGGAUGACGUCAAGUCAUCAUGGCCCUUACGACCAGGGCUACACACGUGCUACAAUGGCAUAUACAAAGAGAAGCGACCUCGCGAGAGCAAGCGGACCUCAUAAAGUAUGUCGUAGUCCGGAUUGGAGUCUGCAACUCGACUCCAUGAAGUCGGAAUCGCUAGUAAUCGUAGAUCAGAAUGCUACGGUGAAUACGUUCCCGGGCCUUGUACACACCGCCCGUCACACCAUGGGAGUGGGUUGCAAAAGAAGUAGGUAGCUUAACCUUCGGGAGGGCGCUUACCACUUUGUGAUUCAUGACUGGGGUGAAGUCGUAACAAGGUAACCGUAGGGGAACCUGCGGUUGGAUCACCUCCUU
rnacentral:rRNA from 2 species